UGAGAGUUCUACAUCGUGAUCUGAAGGCAGCAGGAAGAGGGUGCAGACUUUGAAUCAGAAGGCUCGUUUGUGUUGCUUGCCUCCAGCUAUUGAUGGGGCCUUGGGCUGCAUCAUCCUGGGCUAGCCUGGCAGCCAGUGCCCUGGAGCCAGCACAGGGCCCCUUCAUUCUCUUUCUUUUUCUUUGGCACAGAGAGUGUCUUGCGACAGGUUGAAUAAGCAGCCUGAAGGUUUGCCAGCGUCAUGAGAUGAGGAAGCACAGCAAGAGAAAAAGCGGGAGGCUGGGCUGUAGGGGAGGGGCAGCGGAAGCUUGCCAUCAUGUGGUUUAAAUGGCUCAAACGCGAUUAAAGGCGGGCAUCAGUGCAAGCCCUUUAGCCUUCCAGGAAGCCUGGCCCUUCCCUUGGGUUGUUUGUUUAGCAUGGUCUGGUGGGCUGGUUUGGUUACUUCCCCAAACUCAUGAGCAAAGAGUGUUCUAGGUAGAGCGGGGAUGUGGUCAUUCCAGCCACGGAGGCAACUGAAUUUAGGGUACCUGCAUCUGAACUUAAAAACUCUAGGUCCAAUCAAAUUGUCACUGUGAAAAAUGUCUGACACAGAGGGGACCAUACCGAGUAGAGAUGGAGGGAGAAGUAAGUGCUAGAGUUUUGUGUUCUUUUUUCUGCCGCUAGUAUGUGGAAACAAAUUUGAGCGCACAUCUCGUGAGGUGCACAUGAGACUGGAGAGAAAAAGCAGCGUUGAAGUUAUUAGGCCAGCAGAAGGAACCGGGGUUGGAUCGCUGCAUUAGAUCUGAGCUGAGUUAGUGACCACAUGGAGAUGUCCCUCAUAACUCUCUUCCUAAAUUUUCUCACCAAAACACCCAAAUCCUUCUGCCCUGGCUUUCCUUAAUUUACAACAUGACCCCCUUUUAGUGCCCUACGCAGUUAGCUACAGUCUACUCUCUGUCUUCUUCACUCCCUGAUCUUAGGGGGAAGACGUCAUGGUGUGUUGGUUGAUUCUAGAAACCUUGCGACACAGCAGGUGGCUGCAGAGGAAUUACUGGUAGUGAAAAAUAACAGCCAGCCCCCACCCCUUCUCUUGCAAGUGUCAGGAAGAGGAAGUGACAUAGGAGAGUAGACAGCUUGCAUUACAACAUGGGAGGGUGAGUACCAUAUCAGGAGACUGACCAUGUCUCAGAUACCCAUGGACAAUGCCACUCCUCACUUGGUAAAUGACAAGAGUGAAGCUCACUUCAGUUGGAAACGCAUUUCCAGAAAGCUGAAGAGCAUUCAGUUCCUUCCUGGCAGACACUAGAGGUCGCUACUGAACCACAAAGCACAAGGCCCGUCAGUGGAACCCUUAUGCAAAGGCAUCGCCCAUGACAAGAAUGAUGGCCUUAUAUUCGGAGGGGUGGGAAGGGAGUGAGCUGUGGAGAAAAACUACAGUUUUAGAAGAAACUUGAGCAGUUUCUACUUUCUGAGGGUGGCUGUCACCUGCGGGUGUUUCGAAAUAUCAACCUGAAAUCUGAACAAACACCCAGGGACUUGAGAGUUUCCACUUGGUUUUCAGAUUUUUAUCUUUGGUAGAACAUCCUAAGCUUCUCACAGCCCGAAGCAGUGGAAACACAACAAAACAAAAUUCAGCAAAGAUAGACUAUGUGGCGGUGGCUACACAUCCUGCAGAGAAAUUAUCUUCCCUCUGGAUUUCAUUUUGGUAGUUCAGAAUUAGACUUGCGGUAACUGAGUGAUUGUUCUCAGUUGGAAUAUAUGCAAUUUAAGGUUACUCUGGGACUGAGAAGGCGACUUCACUGAGAAAGCAUUGGAACCUGAGUGCGGUCUCCAGUGCCUGUGUAAAAAGCCAGACAUGGCGACAUGUGUUUGUAAUCGCAGUGGUGUCAAGGCAGGAGGCAGGCACAUUAGACCCUGGAACUCCUGGUCCAGUGUCUUAGUCAGGGUUCUCUAGAGUCACAGAACUUAUGGAUAGUGUCUAUAUAUUAAGGGGAUUUGUUAUGAUGACUUAGAGUCUGUAGUCCAACUCCCCAACAAUGGUCAGCUGUGAAUGGGGAGUCCAAGGAUCUAGUAGUUGCUCAGUCCCACAAAGCUAGCAGAUCCAACAGAUGUGUUGGCAAGUCAAUGCAAGUAGGCGAAGAAGAGUGAAUCUUCCCUCUUUCAGUGUCCUUAUGUAGGUCUCCAGCA